rnacentral:rRNA from 1 species
ACUUGAUGAUGGGUGUGCGGCUGAUUAGAUAGUUGGCGGGGUAACGGGCCCACCCAAGUCUACGAUCAGUAGCUGAUGUGAGAGCAUGAGUCAGCCACACGGGCACUGAGACACGGGCCCGACUCCUACGGGAGGCAGCAGUAAGGAAUAUUGGACAAUGGACGAAAGUCUGAUCCAGCCAUGCCGCGUGAAGGAUUAAGGUCCUCUGGAUUGUAAACUUCUUUUAUAUGGGACGAAAAAGGGCAUUCUUGUUCACUUGACGGUACCAUAUGAAUAAGCACCGGCUAACUCCGUG